rnacentral:rRNA from 1 species
GACGAACGCUGGCGGCGUGCUUAACACAUGCAAGUCGAACGGAAAGGCCCUGCCUUUGUGGGGUGCUCGAGUGGCGAACGGGUGAGUAACACGUGAGUAACCUGCCCUUGACUUUGGGAUAACUUCAGGAAACUGGGGCUAAUACCGGAUAGGAGCUCCUGCUGCAUGGUGGGGGUUGGAAAGUUUCGGCGGUUGGGGAUGGACUCGCGGCUUAUCAGCUUGUUGGUGGGGUAGUGGCUUACCAAGGCUUUGACGGGUAGCCGGCCUGAGAGGGUGACCGGCCACAUUGGGCCUGAGAUACGGCCCAGACUCCUACGGGAGGCAGCAGUGGGGAAUAUUGCACAAUGGGCGGAAGCCUGAUGCAGCAACGCCGCGUGCGGGAUGACGGCCUUCGGGUUGUAAACCGCUUUCGCCUGUGACGAAGCGUGAGUGACGGUAAUGGGUAAAGAAGCACCGGCUAACUACGUG